AGAACACGGCGCGGGCGUCGCCGCCCGCCCGCGGGCAGCUGAACCCGCUCACCAGCACCUUGUCGGCGUUGAGAGUCAUAGAAUGUCCUGACUUGGAAGGACCCACAAGGAUCAUGGAAGUCCAGCUACUGAAUUUAAAGUGAAUUUGGAGUGGCACUGUUUCCCCUGGAAGACAGGUACAGCUCCAGAGUUCCCCUUUAUGAAACCAGCCAUGCCUUGAGGGCAGCCUGGAACCAUAGCCCUGGGAUACAGCCCACACCCUGAACCUGCCUGUUCCUGGGAUUCCAGAGGGCAUGAACACCCCCAGAGUGGCUGUAAGGAAUUCUUCCAAGUUCCCCCUUAACUCCUUUCCAUGUUGAUUCUGGCUCUGAGAUAGAGAAGCUACAGGUGGUAUUUGCUUAUUCAGAUUAGCAGAUAACAUGCAGACAAAACAUGCCCCAGUGACAGGAUUUAUUGAUGGAGCCUUUGGAAGGAGCUCCUUUAAAAAGCACAAAUAUUGCUCAAUAUUAAACAGCUUCCAUGUUUUUCUCCAACAGAUAUUUGAGUGGGCAUGGGACUGGUUCUGCUGUAUCUCACUUGUGAAUGAUGGGGGAUGAGGACUUUGACCAGAGAGGAUUUAGGCCUCUCAUUCGGUCCAAAUCCAUCAGUAUCCAUUUCUGCUGAGCUCAAGAAAAUGUGCAUCUCCCUAUUUAGCUUCUCUGUCUUCCUGCCAAUGUUUCAGUGACCUGCUGUUCUGGACCAGUGAGCUCAGACAUCUGAGGAGGGGAAAAGGAAGGUGUAAAUACAAAGCUGGAGAAAAAAGGCUGAAAAUGAGAAGGGAUGCUGCCUUUUUGGGCAGCAGUGAAACUGGACUGCCUGACUGUAUCACAGAUGUGUCACUUGUGGGAUUUAUGCUGAUUUUAGCUUCUAUAAUUUGUGAAAGGGGCUAUAAGAGGUUAUAGUAUUAAGUAUAAUAAGUGUGCU